GGAUGAACGCGGGCGGCGUGCUUAACACAUGCAAGUCGAACGAUGAUCCCCAGCUUGCUGGGGGGAUUAGUGGCGAACGGGUGAGUAACACGUGAGUAACCUGCCCUUAACUCUGGAAUAAGCCUGGGAAACUGGGUCUAAUACCGGAUAUGACUGAUCAUCGCAUGGUGGUUGGUGGAAAGCUUUUCGUGGUUUUGGAUGGACUCGCGGCCUAUCAGCUUGUUGGUGAGGUAAUGGCUUACCAAGGCGACGACGGGUAGCCGGCCUGAGAGGGUGACCGGCCACACUGGGACUGAGACACGGCCCAGACUCCUACGGGAGGCAGCAGUGGGGAAUAUUGCACAAUGGGCGCAAGCCUGAUGCAGCGACGCCGCGUGAGGGAUGACGGCCUUCGGGUUGUAAACCUCUUUCAGUAGGGAAGAAGCGAAAGUGACGGUACCUGCGGAAGAAGCGCCGGCUAACUACGUGCCAGCAGCCGCGGUAAUACGUAGGGCGCAAGCGUUAUCCGGAAUUAUUGGGCGUAAAGAGCUCGUAGGCGGUUUGUCGCGUCUGCCGUGAAAGUCCGGGGCUCAACUCCGGAUCUGCGGUGGGUACGGGCAGACUAGAGUGAUGUAGGGGAGACUGGAAUUCCUGGUGUAGCGGUGAAAUGCGCAGAUAUCAGGAGGAACACCGAUGGCGAAGGCAGGUCUCUGGGCAUUAACUGACGCUGAGGAGCGAAAGCAUGGGGAGCGAACAGGAUUAGAUACCCUGGUAGUCCAUGCCGUAAACGUUGGGCACUAGGUGUGGGGGACAUUCCACGUUUUCCGCGCCGUAGCUAACGCAUUAAGUGCCCCGCCUGGGGAGUACGGCCGCAAGGCUAA
rnacentral:rRNA from 1 species